CAGGGAGACAAAAACUGAUCUUGAUGUCUGAGUAUUUAACUCUUAGGCCAAGGUCCUGUCACCUUAGGUCGAUCGGUACCUCAAAUUGAUAGCUUGAUUUUUGAAUAUUCAUUAGGAGAGCUUAUGAUUUUAGUUCCUAAACUUUGUCUAGGUCACACCCCGCAAAGGUUACUCCUGGGCCAUUAGCUCAGGUGGUUAGAGCGCACCCCUGAUAAGGGUGAGGUCCCUGGUUCAAGUCCAGGAUGGCCCAUUCGGUGUUGGGGGUUUAGCUCAGUUGGUAGAGCGCCUGCUUUGCAAGCAGGAUGUCAGCGGUUCGAGUCCGCUAACCUCCACUGGUUGACUUUCUUCAACGCCAAAAAGUUGAGGAGCAUUGUGUGAUGUGACUUGGAUUGUUUCCGCUGAGGGAACCUAGCUUCCUUUCAUUCCAGGAAUAAAUUAUUAAUUAAUUUCAUUCAGGUUGAAAGGAUGCUGGGCUCACUUUGAUUUUUAAAAUCUUAGAGAUGUUCAGCAGAACCUUGAAAACUGCAUAGGUGAGUCUGGAAAAGAAUAAAGCAUCUCAUGGAUAAACUAUUCUUUUUCAAAUCCAUCAAUAGCAAUGCUAUUGAUUGAUUAUUAAUUAAGAAUAGUCUUUAAAUUCUUGAGUUAGAGCCGAGAGCUUAUAGCGUCUUUUCUGCUUUUAUUGCAUGAAAAGUUAGAUUGAAUUAUUGUCUUUUAAGAAAAAGGUAAUAGUUCAAGAAUGCGUUUCAACAGCGUUUACCGCUAUAAGAAUUAUAU
rnacentral:tRNA from 1 species